rnacentral:rRNA from 1 species
GAUGAACGCUGGCGGCGUGCCUAAUACAUGCAAGUCGAGCGAACAGACGAGGAGCUUGCUCCUCUGACGUUAGCGGCGGACGGGUGAGUAACACGUGGAUAACCUACCUAUAAGACUGGGAUAAAUUCGGGAAACCGGAGCUAAUACCGGAUAAUAUAUUGAACCGCAUGGUUCAAUAGUGAAAGACGGUUUUGCUGUCACUUAUAGAUGGAUCCGCGCCGCAUUAGCUAGUUGGUAAGGUAACGGCUUACCAAGGCAACGAUGCGUAGCCGACCUGAGAGGGUGAUCGGCCACACCGGAACUGAGACACGGUCCAGACUCCUACGGGAGGCAGCAGUAGGGAAUCUUCCGCAAUGGGCGGAAGCCUGAAGGAGCAACGCCGCGUGAGUGAAGAAGGGCUUCGGGUCGGAAAACUCUGUUAUUAGGGAAGAACAAAUGUGUAAGUAACUAUGCACGUCUUGACGGUACCUAAUCAGAAAGCCACGGCUAACUACGUG